ACAGAGCUGCAGCCCAUUCUUCCUGGAAGCGCCUGCAUCAGAGCCAAGGACAGGCCACCUAGUAGCAGUGUCCCUGGAGCCUGGUGCUUGGCUCAGUACAUUAAAAUGCAACAACCAGGCCGGGUACAGCAGUUCAUGCCUGUAAUCCCAGCAUUUUGGGAGGCUGAGGUGGGCGGAUCACUUGAGGUCAGGAGUUCGAGACCAGCCUGGCCAACAUGGCGAAAUCCCAUCUCUACUAAAAAUACAAAAAUUAGCUGGGCGUGGUGGCCUGUGCCUAUAGUCCCAGCUACUUGGGAGGCUGAGGCAGGAGAAUCACUUGAACCUGGGAGGCAGAGGUUGCAGUGAGCCGAGAUCGCGCCACUACACUCCAGCCUGGGCGACAGAGCGGGGCUCCAUCUCAAAAAAUAUAUACGUAUUUCACAGAUACAGUCCUUCCUCGUUUUGGUAAUUGACAGAGCAUAAGCAGUUUUUAAUUUUUUCAAAUUUACAAUUAGGCUCCUGCACGGCAACUCUCUUCCUGUGAACUGAAGGGAAACUUGGAGUCUCCCUCUCCACAGGGUUCUCGUCUUCUGGAAAAGAGAAGAUGGGAAAAUGCGGAUAAGAAGAGGGUUAGAGGGGAGGAAAGAAAUAAAAACCGAGCAAUUUCUAGAAAACAUGAUGAUUAAAAAAAAACCAUCCACGCUUUUGGAAUGGACGGAUUCUUUAACACCUGUGGAUUUCCUUAUUCUGUGACUAGCAAGCUCCCAAGCCCACAGGUAGGAAGCUUCAGCCAGUGUGUGUGGAAAAAACGCCGGUUUUGGGAUACGACGGACAAGUCAGAAGCCUGCUUGAACCGCCGUCACCCCUUUGCAGCCAUCCAACACCACGAACAGCAAAAACAUCAGGUUCUGGCAACCUGUGGGGACAAAGUGACCAUCAGCACGGGGAGGUCGCUGUCAGAGCCGCGUCACAGCUCUUACGCCUCCCAGAAUGGUUUUUGGUGUGAGGAUUGCUGCAUGGAUUGAGAAGGUGGAAUUUGAUUGGAAUAACUGGAUCAUCUCACGGAUGGCUGAAUCCUAAAAUGCCUACAAAGCGUGAAACUGACUCAGGAUUUCACAGAGGAUGUAGAAGCUGGAUUUCACCAUGUU
rnacentral:lncRNA from 1 species